AUUCUAUUAUUAUUAUUAUUAUUAUUAUUAUUAUUAUUAUUAUUAUUAUUGAUAUGGUUUUAUUAGAUUUAUUUAUGUUUGGAUUGGGCUUAGGCCCAUGUUGUCUUUUGCACCCUCAUAUUUAUUAUUUACACCCUUGUGUUUUAUUUUUAUUUUAUUUCUUUUUUUAUUUGAUUAAAUUUUAAAUUAGUAGUUAUUCAAUUAGAAUUUUAUUUAAUUUUUUAUUAUAGUUUUAGUUGAUUGAUUUUUAUUUAAUUACGAAGUGGUUGUAGAAUUUUUCAUUGCAUUGUGAUUUCGAAGUUUAAAUUCAAUGUAGCUUUCGAAAAUUGCUUGGACGCAUAGGUUUUGCUGUCCGACUUCUUAUAGAGUGAUUCCUACAUGAAUCUACUUUAAGUUAACUUAACUUAGAUUUAAAUUCAUUACUUUUUUCGGUUUAUUUUACCAUUGUAAGUGUUGUACAUAAUUUAUCGAGUUGUUGGACUUUUCAUUGCAUUGUGACUUCGAAGCUUAAAUCCAAUUUAGCUUUUAGAAAUCACUUAGAUGCAUAGAUUCGAUUGACCGAC
rnacentral:lncRNA from 1 species